GAGGGACACAGCCCAAGGCCUGCUGGGUGCCAGGUCAGUGCCAGAGAGGGGCAGAGCAGGAACAGGGCCACCCGCUGCCCUGGCCCCCCGUGGCCCCUACCCUCCCACUCCUUUCCCCAGCUGUGUGCCCACUGUGUCCAGAUGCAGGUGGGUUUCCCACCAGCACAGCCAACUUCCCUCUGUGGCCAGGGCUCUCCCUUUUUCCAUUUGUCCAGCCUCAUCUGUGAGAUCCCACAUCCUGUUCCACUGCUGCAGCCUCCAGCUGGGGUGAAGGAUGGGUCCCAGCAUGGAGCAGAAGGUGCUCUCUGUGCCCAACCUGUCUCGUAUGAAACAGUGCAGUGGCACUUUGAAGAAGUCUGCAAAAUUCUGGAUGAAAUAAUAGCUGGGAAGCUGGCACUGCCAAUAAUUCCUGUACUGGAUGGAAGCUGCCUGGUGCCCUGGGAGCUGCCAAGCCCUCUGGCCGGCCAUGGGGCUGUGCCUGGAGAUGCAGUGUGCCAGGGGACGUGGUGUACCAGGGGAUGCUGUGUGCCCAGGGACAUUCCCAGUGUGCCCACUGCCCAGGGGGUCCCACUGUCCUGAGGACAGCAGCACCCAUGGCACCAGGGACAGGUUGUGGUGGGGUUGAUGCCAGACACGGCAGCCGGACUUUGCUUUCCAAUAGUGUUUGUUCACCUCAGACUCCCUGUGGAAGAUGAUGAGGGUGAUGGAAAUAUCACUGACAGCUUUCAAGGCUCAAACAAACAUGGAAAGUUUGAUUCCUGGAACAAAGAGAGGUACAAAGUACCAUCAGGCACAACCUUCCCUGCUCCCUGUGUCUGACUGUAUCACCUGGCUCCAAGCUGGGCAUGCAUGCCUGUGCAGAAGCUGCUGGUGGCAUGGCUGGAUCACCUUGGACAAUCCGUCCUGGGGCUGGAUGUGCCAUGUCCGAGCAGGUAAUCCCCAGGGACACUGGGAUUAGCCCUGGGGAGCAAAGUCAGCACCAGCACUCCUGAGAGAACAGCCCAGCCAGGUUCUGUCAUGUGUCCUUACACACCAAAGUCCAUCACUAAUUAAAGAUUUAAUAACCAAA